UACGUAGGGUGCGAGCGUUGUCCGGAAUUAUCGGGCGUAAAGGGCUCGUAGGCGGUUUGUCGCGUCGGGAGUGAAAACACCGGGCUUAACUCGGUGCUUGCUUUCGAUACGGGCAGACUAGAGGUAUGCAGGGGAGAACGGAAUUCCUGGUGUAGCGGUGAAAUGCGCAGAUAUCAGGAGGAACACCGGUGGCGAAGGCGGUUCUCUGGGCAUGUCCUGACGCUGAGGAGCGAAAGUGUGGGGAGCGAACAGG
rnacentral:rRNA from 1 species